ACGGGUGAGUAACGCGUACACGACCUACCUUUGACUGGGGGAUAGCCCUGGGAAACUGGGAUUAAUACCGCAUAUAAUUCUGAAUAAUAAAGGUUCGGAAUGAAAGUUCAGGCGGUCAGAGAUGGGUGUGCGUCUGAUUAGCUAGUUGGUGAGGUAACGGCUCACCAAGGCGAUGAUCAGUAGGGGGCGUGAGAGCGUGGUCCCCCACACGGGUACUGAGACACGGACCCGACUCCUACGGGAGGCAGCAGUAAGGAAUAUUGGUCAAUGGGCGAAAGCCUGAACCAGCCAUCCAGCGUGCAGGAAGAAGGCCCUAUGGGUUGUAAACUGCUUUUGUCAGGGAAUAAACCUCUCGAUUCAUCGGGAGCUGAAGGUACCUGAAGAAUAAGCACCGGCUAACUCCGUGCCAGCAGCCGCGGUAAUACGGAGGGUGCGAGCGUUAUCCGGAAUUACUGGGUUUAAAGGGUGCGUAGGCGGCCAUGUAAGUCAGGAGUGAAAGUUUGCGGCUCAACCGUAAAAUUGCUUUUGAUACUGCAUGGCUGGAAUCAGGAUGAGGUCAGCGGAAUGUGGCAUGUAGCGGUGAA
rnacentral:rRNA from 1 species